rnacentral:rRNA from 3 species
AAAUUGAAGAGUUUGAUCAUGGCUCAGAUUGAACGCUGGCGGCAGGCCUAACACAUGCAAGUCGAACGGUAACAGGAAGCAGCUUGCUGCUUUGCUGACGAGUGGCGGACGGGUGAGUAAUGUCUGGGAAACUGCCUGAUGGAGGGGGAUAACUACUGGAAACGGUGGCUAAUACCGCAUAACGUCGCAAGACCAAAGAGGGGGACCUUCGGGCCUCUUGCCA